rnacentral:rRNA from 1 species
GGGUAACCUGCCUGUAAGACUGGGAUAACUCCGGGAAACCGGAGCUAAUACCGGAUAGUUCCUUGAACCGCAUGGUUCAAGGAUGAAAGACGGUUUCGGCUGUCACUUACAGAUGGACCCGCGGCGCAUUAGCUAGUUGGUGAGGUAACGGCUCACCAAGGCGACGAUGCGUAGCCGACCUGAGAGGGUGAUCGGCCACACUGGGACUGAGACACGGCCCAGACUCCUACGGGAGGCAGCAGUAGGGAAUCUUCCGCAAUGGACGAAAGUCUGACGGAGCAACGCCGCGUGAGUGAUGAAGGUUUUCGGAUCGUAAAGCUCUGUUGUUAGGGAAGAACAAGUGCAAGAGUAACUGCUUGCACCUUGACGGUACCUAACCAGAAAGCCACGGCUAACUACGUGCCAGCAGCCGCGGUAAUACGUAGGUGGCAAGCGUUGUCCGGAAUUAUUGGGCGUAAAGGGCUCGCAGGCGGUUUCUUAAGUCUGAUGUGAAAGCCCCCGGCUCAACCGGGGAGGGUCAUUGGAAACUGGGAAACUUGAGUGCAGAAGAGGAGAGUGGAAUUCCACGUGUAGCGGUGAAAUGCGUAGAGAUGUGGAGGAACACCAGUGGCGAACGCGACUCUCUGGUCUGUAACUGACGCUGAGGAGCGAAAGCGUGGGGAGCGAACAGGAUUAGAUACCCUGAUAGUCCACGCCGU